AACUGCCUGCCCUGCUGGUGGUUAUAUGAGAAAGUUAUUCCGACUUACAUGAUUAAUGGGAGCCUGGAUAAGGACGCUCAGAGAGCAUGCCGUACGUUGCGGAAGCCCAACGCGUUUUUGGUGGCACCCACCUGUGAAAACAGGGACUUAACUUUUUUAUGUACACCGCAAGGGCGGGUUUAAU
rnacentral:other from 1 species